CUCCACCCAACUUGAGGGGCUGCUCGGAUUUUCCGCCAAUGGGGUUGGCAGGAAAAGGCACAGCUUAAGAGGCGGAGCCUCAGCUAGGUCCACAGCACUGUGCAGGACUCUUCCUUUGGGGAUGGGGUGAGGAAAUCCUUGGAACAGGUUCUGGCCCCCAGUCGCCAUGUCAGCCUUCACCUUAAUAGAGUCCCUUGUCCGUCACAGGCAGAGCCUAGACCGGCCGUGAAAAAAGACGUCCUUGUCGGGUCCAGAGAAAUUUUUGCCGUACUCCAUGUUGAUGACGAAGAGCCCGUGCCUCGCCUUCCUCCCGGUGAGGGUCUCCAGCUGCGGCAGCAUCAGCACGGGGAACUCCUCCAGCCUGUAUCAACACUAAAGAAAAGCUCCAUUAGAGCAGAAAUUGUGCAGUAUCUGGCAUACAGAAAUUCCUCAGUAAACACAUUUUUUCUGCCCAAUACGAUCUGCAGGAAAGUAAGCAUUUGUUGAAUAAGCACGUGGUCCUCCAGAACCACAAAUGCAGCCCCUCAACCAAAUCCAAACUUAACAGAACAAAUCCCUUUAUUAAAAGGAUCUGUUCUAUAAAAUUUGGUUUCAGUCAAAGGCCACACUUGAAAAUCCAGAAGGCCACAUGUGGCCCCAAGGCUGCAGGGGUGAAGACUAUGAAAAUGGGUGCUGGCAAACUAUUAAGUACCUAAAAUAGUUCCCAGUCUUACUUGGUGAAUAUAGUGGGAAACUACACAGGAUUGGUAAGGUAUGUAUGGCAGGGCCCCGAGACUGGGUUGAACACGGAUUGCAGACAACAGGAUGCUAUUGGAGAUUUGAAUGGAGGAUUUUUAGCAGUCAACUUGGCAGCCCCAUGCAGGACAAGUAAAAGCAGGGGAAGAUGAUACACAAUUAUUUUUAGAGAAUGAGCCUGAAGUCACCUUCCACUUGUUCCAGUUAAUCCUGCUGGAUUGGGCCAUGGGCUUUCAAGAGGUGAUUUGGUGAAUACGCCAAUACCACUCCAGACUCAAACUCCUGGCACCUGCCACACCACUUUCAUAUACACUAUUUACAUAGAAAACUCCCCAAGCACAUAUUCUGCACUCUCUCCAGUACCUCUGACAACGAAGUUCAAUAGACUUUUGCUUGCUUUCUGAGGCUCAAUUGUUUUGAUUAAAUCAGAAGACCAUUGAGGUCUUGUGGAAAUGGACUUCUUACGGGGAACCCCCCUAAGGCACCUCACAACUGACAACACUGCUCAUGAAAAGAUAAUUUCAAGGGGUUCCUGGAACAAAAAAAAAUUUAGUGCAUCCAUCACCUAGAACGAAUGUAAAACUAACAAUGCUCAAGAGUACACGAUGGAACCC